CCUACGGGUGGCUGCAGUGGGGAAUCUUGCGCAAUGGGCGAAAGCCUGACGCAGCGACGCCGCGUGAGUGAUGAAGGCCUUCGGGUUGUAAAGCUCUGUGGGGAGGGAAGAAUAAGUUCAAGCUAAUACCUUGAGCGAUGACGGUACCUCCUUAGCAAGCACCGGCUAACUCUGUGCCAGCAGCCGCGGUAAUACAGAGGGUGCAAACGUUGUUCGGAAUUACUGGGCGUAAAGCGCGUGUAGGCGGCUUCGAAAGUCGGAUGUGAAAUCCCGCG
rnacentral:rRNA from 1 species